CAAUAGCGUAUAUUAAAGUUGUUGCAGUUAAAACGCUCGUAGUCGGAUUUCGGGCGGGCCGACCGGUCUGCCCGAUGGGUAUGCACUGGCCCGGCGGCGUCCUUCCUUUCCGGAGACCGUGCCUAUCUUAACUGAGCGGGUUCGGGAGACGGAUCGUUUACCUUGGAAAAAUCUAGAGUGUUUCAAACGGCAGCUCGCUCUUGCAUGGAUUAGCAUGGGAUAAUGAAAUAGGACUUUGGUGCUAUUUUGUUGGUUUCGAACACCGAAGUAAUGAUUAACAGGGACAGUCAGGGGCACUCGUAUUCCGCCGAGAGAGGUGAAAUUCUCAGACCAGCGGAAGACGAACCACUGCGAAAGCAUUUGCCAGGGAUGUUUUCACUGAUCAAGAACGAAAGUUAGGGGAUCGAAGACGAUUAGAU
rnacentral:rRNA from 1 species